AAGAAAAGAAAAGAAAAAGAAAAAAGAAAAAGAAUUGGACCAGCAAACAGCUGAAGUACGAUUGAAAUUACAUUGGUUCCCCUUCAAACUGUGAAGCACUUUAUAGUCCAUAAACUAAGCAUGCAGAGACUUCCUGAAGAUCGAGAUGCUCAUUGGGUUGACUUGGCAUGACUCUGGUGGGAUGUAGAUGAAGUCUUCAUUCAGAAGGUUAAAACAGUGUCUUCGAUGGGAAGUUUGAAUUAUGUAACAAACAAUGUCAGGUUUUCAGAAUCUUCUGCAUAAACCUGCUGCUGUGACCCUGAGAAGAAAGGGACACUCAAA